UGGGGAAUCUUGGACAAUGGGGGCAACCCUGAUCCAGCCAUGCCGCGUGAGUGAUGAAGGCCUUAGGGUCGUAAAGCUCUUUCGCCUGUGAAGAUAAUGACGGUAGCAGGUAAAGAAACCCCGGCUAACUCCGUGCCAGCAGCCGCGGUAAUACGGAGGGGGUUAGCGUUGUUCGGAAUUACUGGGCGUAAAGCGCACGUAGGCGGACCAGAAAGUUGGGGGUGAAAUCCCGGGGCUCAACCCCGGAACUGCCUCCAAAACUAUUGGUCUAGAGUUCGAGAGAGGUGAGUGGAAUUCCAAGUGUAGAGGUGAAAUUCGUAGAUAUUUGGAGGAACACCAGUGGCGAAGGCGGCUCACUGGCUCGAUACUGACGCUGAGGUGCGAAAGUGUGGGGAGCAAAACAGGAUUAGAUACCCUGGGUAGUCCACACCGUAAAACGAUGAAUGCCAGUCGUCGGGUAGCAUGCUAUUCGGUGACACACCUAACGGAUUAAGCAUUCCGCCUGGGGAGUACGGUCGCAA
rnacentral:rRNA from 1 species